rnacentral:rRNA from 1 species
AUUGAACGCUGGCGGCAGGCCUAACACAUGCAAGUCGAACGAGUGGCGGACGGGUGAGUAAUGUCUGGGAAACUGCCUGAUGGAGGGGGAUAACUACUGGAAACGGUAGCUAAUACCGCAUACCAUCGGAUGUGCCCAGAUGGGAUUAGCUAGGAGGUGGGGUAACGGCUCACCUAGGCGACGGUACCUGGCUGGUCUGAGAGGAUGACCAACCACACUGGAGAUGAGAACCGGUCCAAAAUCCUACGUGAGGCAGCAGUGGGGAAUGUUGCACAAUGGGCGCAAGCCUGAUGCAGCCAUGCCGCGUGUAUGAAGAAGGCCUUCGGGUUUUAAAGUACUUUCAGCGGGGAGGCGUUACCCGCAGAAGAAGCACCGGCUAACUCCGUGCCAGCAGCCGCGGUAAUAC